rnacentral:misc_RNA from 1 species
GAUGAAGAACGCAGCGAAAUGCGAUAAGUAAUGCGAAUUGCAGAAUUCAGUGAAUCAUCGAAUCUUUGAACGCACCUUGCGCUCCUUGGUAUUCCGAGGAGCAUGCCUGUUUGAGUGUCAUGAAAUUCUCAACCUUUUCAGCUUUCUUUGUUGAUCAGGCUUGGAUGUGGGAGUAUGCGGGCUUCUCAGAAGUCGGCUCUCCUGAAAUGCAUUAGCGGGACCUUUGUUGCCUGGCUUUGGUGUGAUAAUUAUCUACGCCAUUGUAGUCAAGCAGCUUAAAAUGAGGUUUCAGCUUCUAACCGUCUCCCCUGAGACAACUUUUUGACAAUUUGACCUCAAAUCAGGUAGGACUACCCGCUGAACUUAAGCAUAUCAAUAAGCGGAGGA